rnacentral:rRNA from 1 species
UAUCUCUGUAGAGUCUGCAUAUCAAUAAGCGGAGGAAAAGAAACUAACUAGGAUUCCCCUAGUAACGGCGAGUGAAGCGGGAAGAGCUCAAAUUUGAAAUCUUCAAGGGUUCUACCUUUACGAAUUGUAGUUUAAAGAAGUGUUUUCUGUUGAGGUUUUGGUAAAAGUUCUUUGGAAUAGGACAUCAUAGAGGGUGAGAAUCCCGUAUUUGACCAUUUACUCUCAAGCUUUGUGAUACACUUUCAAAGAGUCGGAUUGUUUGGGAAUGCAGUCCAAAAUGGGUGGUAAAUUUCAUCUAAAGCUAAAUAUUGGCGAGAGACCGAUAGCGAACAAGUACCGUGAGGGAAAGAUGAAAAGAACUUUGAAAAGAGAGUUAAACAGUACGUGAAAUUGUCAAAAGGGAAGCGUUUGACACCAGUGUUGUUUUCUCGAAAAUCAAUUAAAAAAAGUUGGAUUUUGUAGUUGUUAAGACCUUAUCAGCUUACUGUACUCUUUUCUUGCUUUUUUUAAUGCACUUUUCGUUUAACAAGUCAACAUCAAUUUCUUUUGUUGUAAAAGGUCAUUGGAAGGUGGCUUUCAUUUCGGUAGAAAGUGUUUAUAGCCUUUGGCCUCUGCAAUCGGAGAGAUUGAGGUCUGCAGCGUAGAUCCUUCGGGGUUAGAUACAUUUGUGCUAAGUUAUAGCCUUUUCAUAGACAACUUGUUGACUAUGAUCAGUCAUGUAGCUUACUCGCUUAUGCUAUUUUACCUACGCUUAGGAUGUUGACGAUCAGCUGAGCGCG